CCAGUUCUGUACGGACAACUUCGAACGUGUAUUCUACAAUUAUGGCGCUCCUCGCGAAACUUGUUAAGUGCGAGGCGUAUUUUGCCGCAAGGACUUACAGCACUAGCAUACCAACAGUUAAGAUGUACAUUGAUGGCCAAUUCGUAGAAUCAAAGGCUACGGAAUUCACCGAUGUUCACGACCCAGCAACAAAUGAACUUUUAUGUCGUACCCCGAAAUGCACGAAAGAGGAAAUGGAGACAGCCGUGAAAAGUGCAAAAGAAGCUUAUGCAAAAUGGAAAAAUACGAGUGUACUUACCAGACAAACACUGAUGCUCAAAUAUCAAGCCCUUAUUCGCGAACACUCGAAAGAAAUCGCAGAGAACAUGGUAAAGGAGAAUGGGAAGACAAUGGCCGAUGCCGAAGGUGACGUUCUCCGAGGGUUACAGGUGGUGGACACGUGUGCCGCGAUUCCUUCUCUUCAAAUGGGGGAGAGCACGCCAAAUAUCGCCACAGAUAUGGACAUAAUUUCCUACAAGCUUCCCCUUGGCGUAACUGCCUCCAUCUGUCCCUUCAAUUUCCCGGCGAUGAUACCCCUUUGGUCGUUUCCGGUCUCGGUCGCCUGCGGAAACGCCGCCAUUCUCAAACCAUCGGAACGCGUGCCAGGCGCUUCGAUGAUCCUCGCCGAUCUGUUCACCAGGGCAGGCGCGCCACCAGGAUUGUUGAACGUUGUACACGGCCAACACGAGGCUGUCGAUUUUAUCUGCGAGCAUCCGGACAUCAAAGCGGUCUCUUUCGUCGGCUCCGAUCAAGCGGGUAAAUACAUUUACAAACAGAGCAGUGCUCAUGGAAAACGAGUGCAGUGCAACAUGGGCGCGAAGAACCAUUGCAUCGUUCUACCGGAUGCGAAUAAAAAUAAGACCAUUUCCCAAAUCGUGGGUGCCGCGUUUGGAGCGGCUGGGCAAAGAUGCAUGGCACUCUCGGUGGCCAUAUUCGUGGGUAAGUCGAAAGAGUGGAUCCCAGAAUUGGUUCGAGCAUCGAAGAAAUUGAAAGUGAACGCCGGACACAUACCUGGGACCGAUCUUGGACCAGUUAUAUCGCCUCGAUCCAAGAAGAGGAUAUGCGAUCUCGUCGAGUCGGGAGUGAAAGAUGGCGCUACGUUAGCUCUCGAUGGCAGAGGGCUCGUUGUCCAUGGUUUCGAAAAGGGGAAUUUCGUUGGACCGACCGUGUUGACCCACGUGAAGCCUAGCAUGAAAUGUUACACCGAGGAGAUCUUUGGACCCGUUCUUUCGUGCAUUUUCACCGACACUUUGGACGAGGCGAUCGAUAUUAUUAACAAGAGCCCUUACGGAAACGGGACUGCUGUAUUCACAUCAAACGGUGCAACAGCGAGAGCGUUUGUAAAUAGGAUCGAAGCUGGUCAAGUUGGCGUAAACGUUCCUAUCCCAGUACCUUUGCCAAUGUUCAGUUUCACUGGAAAUAAGGGAUCAUUUCUGGGUGAUAAUCAUUUUUACGGGAAGCACGGUAUAAAUUUUUACACACAAGUGAAAACGAUAACUCAGCUGUGGAGAUCCGGAGAUGCCGGUGAUAUCGCUUCCUCGACAGCUAUGCCGACUAUGCAAUAAUGAUAAUAAGAUGCAUAAUAUUCGUUAAUUCGAUGCUAUUAAAAAAUCUUGCAUCUUAAAAAUAUUUUUUACCGAUUUUUGCGAUUAAUGAUGAAUAGAAUACAAAUUAUUCGUUUUCCUUAAACAGGAAAAUAACAGGAUAUUCUAAAAUUAUGUUACGUACAUCGAUGUCUUCCAUUAUUUCGAUAAAAAAUAUACCAUAUCGCUCAAUCAUUGUUUAAUUAUUCAUGAAUUUUAGAAUACAGAGAAAACUCAAUCGAAGUAUCUUUCUCUCGAUUGUUUUCAUAUUGUAAGAAU